rnacentral:tRNA from 1 species
GGGGGAGUGGCGGAAUUGGCAGACGCGCAUGACUUAGGAUCAUGUCUCCUCGGAGGUGAGGGUUCGAGUCCCUCCUUCCCCA